ACUAUUUUGGCAGAUAAGUGUGAUGGAUUUAGAAUCUAUGUAAGUAAUUUUAAUUACAAAUAGUA
rnacentral:tRNA from 1 species